AGCAUUUAAGCGGACUGCAUCUGAGGUAAAGGGUUCUUUCCUCUUGUUUUGCGGCCCAAGAAAGGACGACGGAGAGCUGGGUUCAUGAUUUAGCUUCAGCUUUGUGCUCGCGUUCUCGGACAUGGAUGCACCGUACGUCGCCAAGCGGGUGUAACCUCCGCAGCAAGAUCCAGGGCCUUGCAGACCAGCGGUCUCUCUCUGCCAGGACGAGACGCCCGGUGCCCGCAGGACUAGAACGACUGCUCAAGGAUACAAAGUCUCCCACAGCGUCUUCGCCUCAACAAAUUUCCAGGACCACUUGAACCACCUGUCAAACGUCCUUGCAAGAAUGAUGCAGGCGGGGAUUAACAACCAAGCCGCGCAAAUGACAUGGCUUAGGAUCAGCUGUCUCUGUUCUUUUGCAGGAACAUGACGCAGCUGGAGAGACACCGGGCACGCACCCCGAGGCCUUUUCUGACAAGAUAACCCACAGAGGAGGCAUGGAAGAUCGUCUAGCGCCGUCACAAUGGAUGGAUAGAGUGCCUGGACUUGCGAACAAACCCGCAUCUUAUAUGGCCAGAGACUGUUUUGCUAUUCGCAAGGAGGUGGCGUUGCUGCGGAAAAACCAUUCAAGCGGACUGCAUUUGGGGGGGGGGGGGGGGAUGUUCUUUUCUUCCGGUUUUGCAGAAAAUAAACUUUGUUACAUUUGUCUUCUCCGGUAGCGGAACGGACGGGCAUAGUCACGAGUGUGGGAGAAUAUAUUUCGAAAACAGCCAGACUGAGCAUGCUUCAGAGCAACGGCGUACGUCCCUGGAUGUUUUAUCUACCUGUGUGUACCUGUACUCUACGUAAGUCCCUGCAGGACGACUGAAUUCAGAGAACGUUCUCUCCACAAGGAACGACACUAACGUUAAUGUGGGCGAACGUACUUCUCAACCUGCUCGGGGCGGAAAGUAUGCACCCCCUGCAUCUUCCUUCUGAUACCGGGUAGUUUAUGACACGCUAUUUCACGAUCGUCCGACUGUCAUCUGAACGUGCCUAGCACGGUUUUAUUUGUCUUCGUUUCCAGACAGGAAGUUAAUGAAUGUUGACGACAGAGUUCAAUUAAAGUGUUUUAUGAACG